CGGUAACAAUCGGCCGGAGGGCGCGGUAGUACGUAGGGGGCAAGGGGUAUCCGGAAUUAGUGGGCGGAAAGGGUGCUUAGUCGGUUUAUUAAGUCUAUGGUGGAAGUGACGGGCUCAAGCCCGUAUGGCCAUAGAAACUGGGAGACUUGAGGGCAGGAGAGGGCAAUGGAAUUCCAUGUGUAGCGGUAAAAUGCGUAGAGAUAUGGAGGAACACCAGUGGCGAAGGCGGUUGCCUGGCCUGUAACUGACGCUGAGGCACGAAAGCGUGGGGAGCAAAUAGGAUUAGAUACCCGGGUAGUC
rnacentral:rRNA from 1 species